AGAGUUUGAUCCUGGCUCAGCCUGAACGCUGGCGGCGUGGCUAAGACAUGCAAGUCGCACGGUGUAGCAAUACACAGUGGCGAACGGGAGAGUAAUGAAUCGCUAACGUACCCCGGACUCUGGGAUAGCUAUCCGAAAGGGUAGGUAAUACCAGAUUAUACGACCUUGUCGCAUGGCAGGGUUUUCAAAGGUCCGCCGGUCUGGGAGCGGGCGAUUUCGUAUCAGCUAGUUGGUGAGGUAACGGCUCACCAAGGCGACGACGCGUAGCCGGACUGAGAGGUUGGCCGGCCUCAUUGGGACUGAGACACUGCCCAGACUCCUACGGGGGGCUGCAGUAACGAAUCUUCCGCAAUGCACGAAAGUGUGACGGAGCGACGCCGCGUGUGGGUCGAAGCCCUUCGGGGUGUAAACCACUGUCAGGGGUUACCAAGUCUGAGAGCCCCAGAGAAAGCCA
rnacentral:rRNA from 1 species